UACGUAGGGGGCUAGCGUUGUCCGGAUUUAUUGGGCGUAAAGAGCGUGUAGGCGGCCAGGUAGGUCCGUUGUGAAAACUCGAGGCUCAACCUCGAGACGUCGGUGGAAACCGUCUGGCUAGAGUCCGGAAGAGGAGAGUGGAAUUCCCGGUGUAGGCGGUGAAAUGCGCAGAUAUCGGGAAGAACACCCGUGGCGAAGGCGGCUCUCUGGGACGGUACUGACGCUGAGACGCGAAAGCGUGGGGAGCGAACGAGGC
rnacentral:rRNA from 1 species